UAGGGAAUCUUCCACAAUGGACGCAAGUCUGAUGGAGCAGCGCCGCGUGAGUGAAGAAGGUCUUCGGAUCGUAAAACUCUGUUGUUAGAGAAGAACACGAGUGAGAGUAACUGUUCAUUCGAUGACGGUAUCUAACCAGCAAGUCACGGCUAACUACGUGGCAG
rnacentral:rRNA from 1 species